GAUGAACGCUGGCGGCGCGCCUAAUACAUGCAAGUCGAGCGAACAGACGAGGAGCUUGCUCCUUCGACGUUAGCGGCGGACGGGUGAGUAACACGUAGGUAACCUACCUAUAAGACUGGGAUAACUUCGGGAAACCGGAGCUAAUACCGGAUAAUAUUUCGAACCGCAUGGUUCGAUAGUGAAAGAUGGCUUUGCUAUCACUUAUAGAUGGACCUGCGCCGUAUUAGCUAGUUGGUAAGGUAACGGCUUACCAAGGCAACGAUACGUAGCCGACCUGAGAGGGUGAUAGGCCACACUGGAACUGAGACACGGUCCAGACUCCUACGGGAGGCAGCAGUAGGGAAUCUUCCGCAAUGGGCGAAAGCCUGACGGAGCAACGCCGCGUGAGUGAUGAAGGUCUUCGGAUCGUAAAACUCUGUUAUUAGGGAAGAACAAACGUGUAAGUAACUGUGCACGUCUUGACGGUACCUAAUCAGAAAGCCACGGCUAACUACGUG
rnacentral:rRNA from 1 species